GGGUAAUGUAGACCAGAGGACACCAGACUCAAAGAAACAUUCAAAUUAAUGAUAUUUAGUUAAACAUCAGCAUUUCAAAUCCAGCGUAGACUUGAGACGAAAGCCUCCUCUAUUUGUCGACAGCAUGAUGAAAUAAGUGCCUGCAAAACCAUGCUUAUAUUACUGAAGUGCAUUACCCAGAUCACAGAACUUGAAACAUUUUAAUAACGGGAGCAUCACCUCAAGGCUUACCAGCAAAGUCUCAGCGAAAUGAGAGGUACAAUAUUGAUUGAUUGCCUUCAGUGAAAAACAUAAAAACAUUGACACUUGUUAACAAAAGCUUUGCCGGGUCCAGAAUCUGCCUAAGAUAAAAUGAAAUAAAAGCACUGAACCAAACGUAGCCUUACCUGGAGAGUUUCUGCAUCCAACACUUGCUCGCCCUCACCUACGUCAAAGAACAGCUUGUUGACAACGUACCUUGCACUGACCUGCAAGAUAACAAGUGCAGCUCACUCAGCCAUAAUGAAAUCUAUCUAAUUAAAAGUCUCAUCUUGACCAC